rnacentral:rRNA from 1 species
AUUGAACGCUGGCGGCAGGCCUAACACAUGCAAGUCGAGCGAGCGGCGGACGGGUGAGUAAUGUAUGGGGACUGCCCGAUAGAGGGGGAUAACUACUGGAAACGGUGGCUAAUACCGCUUACUAUCGGAUAACCCAUAUGGGAUUAGCUAGUAGGUGGGGUAAAGGCUCACCUAGGCGACGAUCUCUAGCUGGUCUGAGAGGAUGAUCAGCAACACUGGGACGGAGACACGGCCCAGACUCCUACGGAGGCAGCAGUGGGGAAUAUUGCACAAAGGGCGCAAGCCUGAUGCAGCCAUGCCGCGAGUAUGAAGAAGGCCUUAGGGUUGUAAAGUACUUUCAGCUAGGAGGAGUUACCCGCAAAAGAAGCACCGACUAACUCCGUGCCAGCAGCCGCGGUAAUUC